CUGCAGCACUGUGACAAUUUGGCUGUGGACAAUUUGGCUAUGACAGUUUGGCUUUCCCUUGCCUAGAAGAAGAAACACAUGUCUUCUUGAAUUCCAUCCAUAAGUGAUUCUCUGGCUACAGUGUGAGGAAGAAAGACACCAAAAUCCAAAGUCUUGUGAGUGCUGAAUGAAGAUCCCAGGUUAAGAACUUUGAUCUAGAAGGAGGAAGUGAUCAACAGUGUAAAACUCUGGGAUAAAGGCCAAGAACAGUGAAGACUAAAAAGAAAUCAUAGAAUGUGGCCAUGAAGAACCCACUGGUGACUUUCAAGAGAGCAGUUUCAGGAGAAUGAUGAGAAUAAAAGCCAGACUGCAAGACAGAAGGGAAAGAAUGGAUGUUGAUGAAAACAAGCAAAAAAGUUACAACUUUAGAGCAAGGAGGUCAUAUAUCCAUUUUAAUCUUAUCUUAGUGAAUGACAUAAGAUAUUGGUAUAUACUUAGUUUCUACCAAACAACUUUCCAAUUGUCCCAGCAAUUUUUACCAAAUAGCAAGUUCUUAUUCCCAAAACUUGGAUCUAUGCUAUUGUCAAAUACAAGCUCCUCAUGUCUCAACACUGGAGUCUCAAGGGGUCCAAGCCUCUGGCACAGCUGUCACAUAGAGAGGGGCAGGGGCAUGUCAGUUCGGUGUAAGUCACGUAAGUAUCAGUUGCCACUGAACCUGUGAGCUCUCUUGACAGCAGGAGGUGGUACCCCUGGUUGUGUGGGGGCAUUCCAAUAGCAAAGUCAGACACCCCUGAGUUCAACACUUGUCUCUGACAUUUCCUUGUAGGGCAAACCUAGGCAAGUCACUUUUGCAUCUCCAAGCCUCAGUUUCCCCAUCUGUAAAAUGAGAAAAAUGCCAAAUAUAUUUUCUUUUUCAGGAUUAUUCU
rnacentral:lncRNA from 1 species